UUUUCCAUUUUUAUCAUUUUUUCGCUUGAUGAAGCUAUUUAAAGUUUUGCCUACACCAAUUUUUUCAUCAUAUAAUGCUAUAUUUUUUUUUUUUUUUUUUAUUUUCUUUAAAUCUUCAUACGCUUCAUUCUCUUCGAUAAUUUCAUGCUGUAUUCUAAAAAAAAAAAAGUGUCUUUAUCCAUUUUCUCUCUUGGGUAUCCCCUUUUCACCGUUUUUGUUUUUCAGCAUUCUACAUUCCACUCGUGCUUUCUUCUUUUUCGCAGUUCGAUUUAACCCACUUUCCUUUCUCCAUGGCAUUUUAUGUAAUUUAUACCGUUUCUCUUUAUACCUAACUCUCUUCUUCUUCUCGAAUUUUGCUCCUCAGAAUUUUUACACUUUACACUUAUUUCAUAUAUUUUGAAGAAUUGAAGAAUUCGUAGGAGAAACAAUCUUCUCAAUUUUAUGAUAUUUGUGAUGAUUUGAUUAGAAAUUUUAGCAAAGAAAUUACAUAAAAGAAUCCAAGAUAAUUUUCUGUUCUGUAAGAAAAAUUAAUAAAGAAGGAGAAAAAUCGAUUGAAAAAAAAUCGUUUCUAUUUCAAUUGUAAUGUUACAAAUAUUACAAAUAUGUUACAAACGAUGUUUCAAAAUCUAUCCUGCUUCGAGUAACUUUUUCCGUUAUCAUCUGCAAAUGAAUAAAAUUUAAUCACGGUUUAAGCGACCGUUAUUUAAAACAGCAUUUAAUUGCUUUUAUCGUGGAAAAGCGUGGGGUCUGUCCAGCUUUCGAAAAUAUAAUUAUAAUAAUUUCUAUGUUCUGCUUUGUUCGAGCCGAAUCGAAAGUCACCAUUAACUCGCGUCGAAUAUUUUUUAUCGUAUAAAUGGAAAUAUAAAUAGAAUGAUAUUCGCCGAUGAAUAAUUCUUGUAAAAUAAUUUAAUUGGAAAUAAUAAUUCUGUCCGAUUAAAUGAUUAAUUUAAAUUUUUGUUCUUUCCUUUCGUUUUUUUCUUUACAAUUGUUAAUAAAAAUAAUAAUUCUCAUUUUCUCUCUUGAAUGUAAUCAAAAAUUUAAUACAAUAGGCAAUAAUUUAUCGAAUGAAAUAUGAAAGACGUGCGAUCUAACAUGGCAGUCUUUGAAAAUCGUAUUUCUCUCCUUCUCCAUUGUUGUAUCUUUUCACUUCAAUCUGUCCCCGUAGACCUUCACAUUCUCUUUUAUAGCCCCUUAAAAUUAUACGUGAUGUAAAAUGUGUAUGUAUUCUCACGAGACACUGUGGAAAACGUAUAACAGAGAUCGUGCAAAAUUUACCCAGUUACAAUGCAAAUAUCUCUUAUAAAACGCAGUAUCGUCACAAUAUUAACUGAAUAAUUACUAACAUUAAUUCUUAUUUUUAUUAAUUAAAAUGAUUCAUAUUGAGUAUUUUGUAAGAAACAAUUUUUCUUUCCAUUUAUUUCUUCCUUUUCUCGUGAAAUUAUUCGAAUACAUUAUCUUACAGUGAGAUUCAGCUAAAAUUCAAAAAUUCUAAAACGAAACUUUGUAGAUUACACAAAAUCUAUUUUCAAGAAUUGAAAACGACCCUUCAAGUUAUCAACACUUUUCAUACAAUUUCAAAAUUUUUAACACAAUUUCCUCAGACUACAAAAUUCUUCACUUUUAAAGUUUUGCUCUACCAUUAGAAAAGUUACAUUUAAAGAGAGGAAGAAAAAUUCAUUGAACAUUCUGAAUCCCUUAAAAUAACAACGAAAACAAAUUGCUUCGUAUAUAAUCACAAAGUUUCGUUAAAAGAUAAUGGAAUUGUUUAUUAAAAUUUCGAUCGAAAAAUAAAAAGCUUUCCUGACCCAUUCUAUGUAUUUACAUAUUUAUAUAUUUUCUCUUUUAAUCGCACUUGCUUUUUUCACACACACGCGCGCACGCGCACACAUUAAUCCAUAUCUGAAACCAUACACAACGUUGCCUUCCCCGUUUCAUUUCCCGCCUUUAUAUCGCGCCUGGCGGUAUGCUUUCGUGCAAACAGCCUUCCCCUUGUACAAUGGACGGCCCCUGAGAAAGUGACGGAGAGACGAAGCAUCCGUAGGUGGUACAAAUUGAACGCAAGCAAGCAAUAAGCUACUUGCAUUGCUUUUCUCUAUCACGUUACGAUUAGCAGGAACGUGACCUAGUCACGCAAUUUUAUUGGCAACCACCAACGUAACAGCAACACGUCUUCCAUCGUGUCCAUCUGUUGUCGGCGAGAGAAACUUUCGUAAGGAGAGAUUUCAAGAGCGCGGGCUUUUCAAUAUUCGUCUUGCUUCUGCACGAUACAACGAUUGAGAGAGAAAAUGGAUGAUGCAGCGAAGGAGAAUUUUAUAAAGAAAGAUUCCAAAAGUGUAACGUUGACUUUUUAAUACGAUUGAAAGAGAAAAUGGAUAUUCGAUUUUAAAGUAUGGUAUUAUAUACUCGUUUUUAAUGAAAGAUUCCAAAAUUUUAAGGUAUGGUAUCAUCUAUUUAUUUUAUUGAUGAAGGAUUUUUAUAGACAUUCGAAAAAUAUUCGGUUUUAAGAUAUGGUAUUAUUUAUUCAUUUUGUUUUUAAUGAAAGAUUUUUAUAGAGAUUCUAAAAUUGUAACAUUGACUUUUUAAUACGAUUAAAAGAGAAAAUGGAUGGUAUCUAAUUUCAUUUUAUGAUAUCAUCUAUUUAUUUUAUUGAUGAAUUUUUAUAGAGAUUCCAAAAGUACAAUGUUAAUUUUGUAAUAGGUUUCUGCAUGAUUAUUCGGUUUUAAGAUUUUUAUAGAGAUUCCAAAAUUGUAACAUUGACUUUUUAAUACGAUUAAAAGAGAAAAUGGAUGGUAUCCAAUUUUAAGGUAUGGUAUCAUCUAUUUAUUUUACCGAUGAAGGAUUUAUAGACAUUCCAAAAGUAUUCAGUUUUAAGAUAUGAUAUUAUUUAUUCAUUUUAUCGAUGACUUUUAUAGAAAGAAAGAGAUUCCAAAAGUGUAACGUUGACUUUUUAAUAGGAUUAAAAGAGAAAACGGAUAUUCGAUUUCAAGGUAUCCUAUUGUCUAUUUGUUUUGCUGGUAAAAGAUUUUUAUAGAGAUUCCAAAACGUUGACUUUUUAAUACGAUUGAAAGAGAAAAUGGAUAUUCGAUUUUAAGCUAUCGUAUCGUUUAUUCGUUUUGUUGGUGGAAAACUUUUUGAUAGGAAGAAUUUCCAAGUAACUAUAGCAUUGACUUUUUAAUAGACUUUUACAUGGUUAUAACGAUUGAAAAUAGUAUUCCAUUUCUCUAAUUACGAACCAUUCAAUUUUCGCUCCUAUUAUAUCUAUGCAUUAUUGAAAAAUUUUAAGAGAUUCCAAAUAUAUAUAUGCUGACUUUUUAAUAGAUUUUCUGCAUAAUUACAACGGUUAAGAGAUAAAACGAUUAUAAGCAUCGUCGAAACAUUAUAAAAAUUUGGAAAAAAUACAUGGAUCAGGACAGAAAGAAUAAAUUUAUCAUCAGCCUAACAUCUCGCUUACACCAGAUCUCACUACAGAAUAUGAAACUUAAGUACUUAACCUAACUUUGACGUUAAAUAUCUCGUUAAUUAUCGAUCGGCUUCCUCCAAUUUCGCGAAUUACAUCCGACUGUGUGUCAAAAGACGAACGACCAGCUAUCCCUCGCUCAUCCAGCAUUAAUAUGAGAGCGUUCUUCGUAUCAGAGGGUUCUACGCGAAGUGCUUUGAAAAGAAACGUCUCGUGCAUCUUAGGCCACUUCACUUAAGUAGAAUCUUCGUUGUCACGAGUUGAUGUUAAGUCUGAACGAGGCGACGACACGUAACGAGGCAAAGAUUUACGUAAAGUUGAAUUUUUUUUACUAUUAUUAUUGUUAUAUUAAUGCGACGCGCUAAUUGAGUAGAAAAUUAUUGUGAAUUCAAUCAAUUGCAACGAUCGACUUUAUUAUUUUAUUUACGUGAUAAAUCCUUAAUCGUUGAAAUCUUGUUAAUACACGUUUCAUUUCAAGGAGGUGGUUAAUAAGCUGUUUCUCCAUUGUUGUCACUCAAGAGAAUAAUGACGAUGAAGUCGGAAAUUAGUUCUAAUUGCUUCGAGUAUUUAUGCACGUUUGUAUAACGAAUGGACUUACAUUUUGAAACUCAAUUUAAUCCAGGACGAUUGUUAAGUAUAUACACAAGUGUGAUGUCAAUUACAUUCUUCUAUAUGUAAUAUAUAAUUUAUUAAUAGUUAUAUUAUAAUUUAAUUUUUAAUUUAGAUUAAUAAAUAAAUAAAAGUGUAUAAAAAUAAUCAAAUUAACAACAAAAUGUCAAUAUCAAAUAGUUAAUUUAUAUUAUGUAUAUUUGAAAAAUUAAUAUUCGAUAAAAAGAUACUGAAAGGAAAAUUGAUCUAAUUAAGACAUGUAAUCCAUGAAAUCUAGUAGCUAUAAAAAAAAUUGAACCAUAAAUUAUAUUACAUAUAUAUUUAAGAAAAAUAUCAAUCAAAUGAUCAACUUAAUUAUUAUUAAUGAUUUAAAUAAUUCUUUUUAUAUAAGAUUGAUAGAAUUCACAAUUCAUUGAUGAAGAUAGAAUGAGACAUUGUUUGAGAAAUAAUUUCAAAAAAAAUUUAUCCAAAAUAUAAAAUUGUCACAAUUAACACAGUUAAAUAUAGUUUCAAUUUGUAAACACAUUUUUAAUUUCUUUCCAUUUGUUUCUAAAUUUGAAACAGCUUUGGUCCACACUUAAUGAUUGUAGACUAUAACAAGUGUUGUAUUUCACUCGUACAAUCAUCGUUCAGGCUUGUUUCUAUUCAAACUUCACCAUGUUAUUCUGAUUGUUUUCCUUCACAAUUCCUAUCUGUUUUGCAGUCUCUCUUGUAUAUUCUAUACGUUCAACUUCACUUUAUCUCCCUCGAGAAAUUGUAGAAAGAAAAUAGAACUGUCCAAUAACAGUGAAGUGAAUACAAUGAAUUUUUAGAAGAAUCAAUUAUCCAUAUUCUAUGAAGUUGUUCAUCGUCAAUACCUAUCAAUGAUAAUUCGUUUCAUAUUAAUUCACAUCAAUCAAGAAUCAAGAAUAUUCUAAUUGUUGCAAGCAACAAGAUGAUCAAGUAGUUCUCCUGGAUUCUUCAGGAUUAUCUUAUCAAUUUACUUAAAUUCUUAUCUUUAAUAAUUGAAACGUUUUGUAUCUGAUAUUCUUAUUCAUUUUUUAUCUUGAAAUAUUUUAAGUUGCAAGUAUUUUUUUUUAAGAGAUUUUUUUUUCAGAUAUCUCCUUCACUUUCAAAAUAUUUCAAAAGUUUCAUAUCUUUCACUCUCAACUAAGCUAAAUUUAGAAAAUCCAUGAAUAAAUACUUUGGAAGGAUCUAUCGAAUAUUUUUGCUCGAUUAUUUAAAUUAAAACUUUGUUAGAUAGAAUUCAAAACUUGAUUUUUUUCUUUCAGGAAAUAAAGAUCGAAACUUCUCUCUGUUUACGAUUUCUUGAGAAUUCUGAUCGAUGUGUUCAAAAAGAUGUUGGUCGUUGAAGAAGGCAGAAGCCUGGAUUGAGAUAGCAACGACAGACAGCUAUUAAGGUCAACAACGGAUUUCAGGAAAAAUCGAUAGACCGGAUAGAACGACCCUCGAUGGAUAUCGGCCUGUUUAGAAUCAAGGGUGCAUACAAGGAUCGAGUAGUGCCUUUUUUUAAUUCCUUUCGCCAUUUUCCCUUACGGUUGCCAUGCUACGUAGCAAAUAAUAAGGUGGAAACAGUGUUAAAAAUCUAUUAUUGGCAAAACAUUGUUCAAGAUUCCUCACUUUAUUCUAAUCUUUUUGUUAGUACUUUUUUUAAAAGUAUCUUGAAAUAUUUGGAAUAUUUCAAGUAUUUCUUCACAAUGUUUUUAUUAUAAUUUACUAUUUUCUUUAUUUUUUAAGAUAUGUACUUUGAAAUAUUUAAAUUUUGUUCUUUUUUUAAUAUUACAAUUAUUACAUUUAUUCAAUUUUGUAUUAUUUUAUAUUAUCCACGUUUUUCGUUAUUUUACAUCAUAGAUUUUUUUGUCCAGUGAAGAAUUAUUUACUUGAAAUUGUAUCAUAACGAUUCAAAAGAAUUGAUAUUUGAUUAUUAUUAUAUAUUUGAGAGUUAAAUACUUUCUUAAGAACUAUUUUUGAAAAUAUUUUUGAACAAUUGGAAAUUGCAUUGAGAGUAAUUUUGCAAAUAAUCUGAAAAGAAUUUUGGAAGGAUAUUAUUUUCAAAUAUACUUAUACUCUUAAUUAUUAAUUUCAACAAACACAAAUAGAUCUGGUUUUAAUUUAGUUAAAUUCUUUUUGGACGAAGCACAAGAGAUUUAUGCUGUGAAGUGUCAAAAACUGUUGAUGGCUGGCGGCCAAUAAGCCAACAAAAGGGGAAAAAAGAGAAAUAGCUCGGCUAUCAGGAAACAAUAAGGUGGUCGAGGCUGGUAUCUGCUUUGUACGAUGAAAAUUUUACUUAAAUAUCGUUACCAAAAUCUCACCAUGUGAAUGAAUAAAGAUGGAUUGAAAUUGUAAUGGAGGCUAUUUGAAUAUGAAAAAGAACAGAAGUUUGAAGAGAUUAAUCUCUUUGCUUGCUGCAUUUAAGGCUGAACUUAAUUCUUGGGUGAAAUUGGACGAAAUUCGAUUGUUGGCAUUCAACAUCAACAUCACGCAGAAUCGGAAAGUAAUGAUCUCGGGAUAUUUUAUAAUGAUCAAUAUACGAUUUAAAGUGGAGAACAUGUUGCAUCGACAAUAAGAUACGCGGUUGGCAACACGAUUGACAGACGACACCGUCGCUCGUUUAUUAAAUAUCGAUACACGCAGGGUUAUUCACUCGACAAAAAUUUUUAAACAACAUGGAACGGUUGAUUGGAAUCGCACGAGCCCUUCGUUCAACAUCGUUAACCUGUCACUGAAGUAUCCUGGACCCCUGCGACUCGUCGAUCGAAUCCUGUCGUACCCUAAUCUAUCGCAGUCAGUUUCAUAAAUUGUUUCAACAUCUCGAUUUAACAAAUUUUCCAAUCUUAAAAUUCUUAUCUUAAAAUAAAUUGAUGGUAAAAAAUCGAAACAAGAUUAAAUCGAUCAAUUAACACUUCUGGAUCUUAUAGAUAAUAGAUUAUGUCAAAUUAUAAGUAUAUUUGGAUAAUAAAAUUUUCGAGAUUGAAUCUAA